GGCUCGGCCAAGGCUCGGCUGGUGGUUCUAUGGUGUUAGAAAAUGAGCAACCUAAUUAUACACAACAAUGGGCAGCACCUCGAUCGGUUACUGCAAAUGACUACAUCUGUGGGGCUUGUCACUCAUUAUUGCAAAGAGAUACCACACCUACUUCACAAGACUCUCCAGAUAUGCCAACCGGUGCCCCGGUAGGUCACCAACAAGUUUGUGUUGGAUGUGGUUGUUCAUUAUUGCGAACUUGAAGUCAUUGUUUGGAUACAGAGAAUAAUCAAGAUAUAUUAAACAUUGU